AUUUGCAUUAGAACAAAAAGGAAGCGUGAAAAGAAUACGAAAAAAGUCAAAAAAAGAAAAGGUGAUUACAGUGAUAACAGACCCUUUUACCUUAGGCUAUACCUAACAGGGUAUUGCACCUGGACAGUUGACCCAGACAAAGGGUUUGACCAGUCAGCUUGGUGCCAUCAUUCAAAUAAUUGGUUAAAUGAAAAAUGAUGUUCAAGUAAAAAGUCAAAGAGAAACGGAAAAGUUGAAAAAAAUGCUCGGAAUGAGAAUCAGAUCAACUUUAAACAAAACUGUUGAUUUCAAGCCGUCAUCAUUGCCAUGAACAGUCAAUGAAUAAACUUUUGAUACAUUUGUCCAUGUAAACAUUGGAACAUUUUACAUAACGAUUUGAAUACACAAAAGCAACACCUUGUUAACAUGAUUACAUGAUGAUCAUCAUUCUCCAGAAACAAAGAUGUUCCCAUUGAGUUGAUCCAAUGAAUACUAAUGAUACGACAUUAUGAUAAUGGAGAGAAGAGUGAAAAGUUGAAUUUCAUCUGUAACCUGAAAAGGCAAGAGAAGCGUAAAAAAGGUUACAUGACACACAAGGCUUGCAAUGAGAUAGUAAAUUGAAAAAUUUAACCUUUCCAUUGAUGAUCAAUACGCGAAUUGAGUAAAUGAAAGAAAUGAUGAUGAUGAAUGAAUGAGGAAAGAUAAACUAAAGGAAUAACAGAUUCUGUGUUUGUUUGUUACCAAUGCAAAUAUUAAAAAUUUGUUUGUUUCUCUUGUAAAUAUUAGUACAGAUAUGCCUAGACUCACUCUUAAUCAUCUUCUCCUCAUCUUCUUAUUCAUCAUCAUUAUCAUCUUGGCGAAUCAAAAGGAAUGAUGAAGAUGAGAAUAAACAGUGGGAGGAAGGGGGAGAGGAGCAGGGAAAGUGAUUCAAGCAAAUUUACUUUGAUAAUAUUUAUUGAUCAUCAAAUUUAUCAAAGUGAAUGAGUGAGUAAAAGAGGGUGAGAGAGCGAGAGAGAGAAAAGAGUAAUUGAAAGUAAAGGUAAGAAUGUUUAAAGAGGAUAAAUCAAAAAGGGGAGUGAGGAGCUUGUUAGAUGAUGAGUGAGUAAGGUAAAGAGUGAGAGAGUAAACAAGUGUAAAUAUUUUCCAAAGUCUGUGACAAUAAAAAAAAGAAGAGAUGAGCUAUAAAAGGUCGAAGCUCAGUUGAAAUUUUGUCAUUCACUUGGAUCCAUUCACAGCAAUCAACGUUACAAAAAUUAAUCAACUUUUCAUUCAACUUUUCAUUCAACUUUGUUUCGCCGCUUCAAUCGAUUCCUAACCAACUUCAAAACCCUUUUUCAUAGUUGAUUAACCCGAACCUUUUUACCAAGUUUCCCAAGUUUCAACCUUUUUCAAUGUUGGCUAAAAGCAAAAAUUGGAAAAGAAAAUUUUCGAAAAACAAAAAUUCGAAAAACUGGAAAAUUUGAAAAAACAUUGUAUCAGUUUUACUCACGUGACUUGGAUUCUCUUCUUGCGCCACCUAUCGAUUGUCUAAAUUCCAGAAUUGUUAAUGUGAUUAAUGUCAAGCGCGCAUAUGGAGGUGGACAGUUUUUUCAUUGAAACUCAUUGCCACUGUUAAUCUUUUCGCGGUUCAACAUUUUCAAUGGUUAUUCAAUGGUUAAUCCAAUUAGCGAUUUACAUUCAAUGGAUAAAGUUCUGAAAUGCUUUUUACCGAUUUUCCUCUCUUUUCGCCUGUUCGCCCUCUUCUCCUACUUAAGCCAUCCAAAGGGCGAGUUAUUAACUUGAUCAUUCAUUGAUCAAUCUCUAGUGACUAUUACCAUUAUUAUCAAGUUAUCAAAUUAUUAUUCUUAUAACUGUUACUGUUGAUAAACAGGGGAAGAACAAGUUAUCAAGCAAAUUGAUGGAUAAAGUGACAAAUCAUUUUCACCAUUAUACGGUUAAUUAGAUUAACCAUGAAAGAUGAAAGAGAAAAGAUGAAAAGAUGAAAACCUGUGAUUUACAGUUUUUAUCAAGUGUUGAAACUGACAGGUUUAAUGUUCAAUUGUACAAUAUUAUUGAUGUUUAUAGAUGUUGAAAUGACAAGUGAAAAUGACAAGAAAAUGCUUCUCUCUUCAUGAACAUGAUAAUGGUUUGCUAUUUCACCAGAAAAUCUGUUGCAUUUACCAAUUCAAUCUAAUCUGAUAAUCAUCGAUUACUGUUCAACAUCAUUUCCUGAACAGAUUAACCUUUGUCCAGCUUUUUCCAGAUAAUUAUUUUUCUCUUUUUUCUUAUCAAUUGUUUCAAGUGUUUCACUCGGCCAACUUUUACCAGAUUAUUUAAACUAUUGAUAACAGAUUCAACUUGACCUUUGCCUGAAUUUGGCCAAGUUUCAGUUUGACAACAUGUUCUGAAAACAGAUUUUAUAGUUUGCCAGAAGAAAUUGUUUUUCUCUAUUUUCUCUUUUUUCUUCUUUCUUCUUGCAAAGUGUUGAUGUAAAAACAGGAAAAGGAAGGGAAUUAAUAAAGUGAUAAUAUUGUUUUCCAUGAUAACAACUGAGUAGAAUAACGAAAAAAAAUGUUCUCCAAAAGAGAAAAGCUUUUUUCUUCUUUUCUCAGUUUACAUUAUUUUCAUUCAAAGUUGUACCUAAGGUAAGCCUAUAACUUUCAUCCUCCUUUUCCUUGUCAUCCAAUCUUCAUCAUCUUCUCAUCUUGUUCAUCUUCUUCUAUAGAUUUAAUGCUGUCUGAAAAGAAAUCAGUUUGUCAUCUUGUUGACAUUCAUUUCUACUUAAUUCUGUUCCAUUUCCACUGAAUAAUCUGAUUUUUUGCUUCUUUCUUUUUUUCAGGGAAACUCUGAGUUUGCAAAAAGUUACCAGAAAAUAACUUGGACAUUUUCAUGGCUAAAAAUCAUUGCAAAAUCGUUUAUUCAUUUUGUAAAAAUGUCCAGUUUUCAAGUGCAAACCUAAAAGCCUUUCACACUUGAAGCAGAAAUAAAACAAAAAAUAUUUUUCUUGUUACA